GAUGAAGAACGUAGCGAAAUGCGAUAAGUAAUGCGAAUUGCAGAAUUCCAGUGAGUCAUCGAAUCUUUGAACGCACAUUGCGCCCUUUGGUAUUCCGAAGGGCAUGCCUGUUCGAGCGUCAUUACCACCCCUCAAGCCCUCGGCUUGGUGUUGGACGGUUUGGUGGAGGCCCCCUCGGGGGCUCCUGCCCCUCCCAAAGACAAUGACGGCGGCCUCGUUGGACCCCCGGUACACUGAGUUCUUCACGGGACACGUAUCGGACACAUGGGUUUACGGGACACGGUCUGCCUCCCCUCAGGGAGAAUCUUUCUAAGGUUGACCUCGGAUCAGGUAGGGAUACCCGCUGAACUUAAGCAUAUCAAUAAGCGGAGGA
rnacentral:misc_RNA from 1 species